rnacentral:rRNA from 1 species
GAUGAACGCUGGCGGCGUGCCUAAUACAUGCAAGUCGAGCGAACGGACGAGAAGCUUGCUUCUCUGAUGUUAGCGGCGGACGGGUGAGUAACACAUGGAUAACCUACCUAUAAGACUGGGAUAACUUCGGGAAACCGGAGCUAAUACCGGAUAAUAUUUUGAACCGCAUGGUUCAAAAGUGAAAGACGGUCUUGCUGUCACUUAUAGAUGGAUCCGCGCUGCAUUAGCUAGUUGGUAAGGUAACGGCUUACCAAGGCAACGAUGCAUAGCCGACCUGAGAGGGUGAUCGGCCACACUGGAACUGAGACACGGUCCAGACUCCUACGGGAGGCAGCAGUAGGGAAUCUUCCGCAAUGGGCGAAAGCCUGACGGAGCAACGCCGCGUGAGUGAUGAAGGUCUUCGGAUCGUAAAACUCUGUUAUUAGGGAAGAACAUAUGUGUAAGUAACUGUGCACAUCUUGACGGUACCUAAUCAGAAAGCCACGGCUAACUACGUGCCAGCAGCCGCGGUAAUACGUAGGUGGCAAGCGUUAUCCGGAAUUAUUGGGCGUAAAGCGCGCGUAGGCGGUUUUUUAAGUCUGAUGUGAAAGCCCACGGCUCAACCGUGGAGGGUCAUUGGAAACUGGAAAACUUGAGUGCAGAAGAGGAAAGUGGAAUUCCAUGUGUAGCGGUGAAAUGCGCAGAGAUAUGGAGGAACACCAGUGGCGAAGGCGACUUUCUGGUCUGUAACUGACGCUGAUGUGCGAAAGCGUGGGGAUCAAACAGGAUUAGAUACCCUGGUAGUCCACGCCGUAAACGAUGAGUGCUAAGUGUUAGGGGGUUUCCGCCCCUUAGUGCUGCAGCUAACGCAUUAAGCACUCCGCCUGGGGAGUACGACCGCAAGGUUGAAACUCAAAGGAAUUGACGGGGACCCGCACAAGCGGUGGAGCAUGUGGUUUAAUUCGAAGCAACGCGAAGAACCUUACCAAAUCUUGACAUCCUUUGACAACUCUAGAGAUAGAGCUUUCCCCUUCGGGGGACAAAGUGACAGGUGGUGCAUGGUUGUCGUCAGCUCGUGUCGUGAGAUGUUGGGUUAAGUCCCGCAACGAGCGCAACCCUUAAGCUUAGUUGCCAUCAUUAAGUUGGGCACUCUAAGUUGACUGCCGGUGACAAACCGGAGGAAGGUGGGGAUGACGUCAAAUCAUCAUGCCCCUUAUGAUUUGGGCUACACACGUGCUACAAUGGACAAUACAAAGGGCAGCGAAACCGUGAGGUCAAGCAAAUCCCAUAAAGUUGUUCUCAGUUCGGAUUGUAGUCUGCAACUCGACUACAUGAAGCUGGAAUCGCUAGUAAUCGUAGAUCAGCAUGCUACGGUGAAUACGUUCCCGGGUCU